rnacentral:ncRNA from 1 species
GGCAGUCAUGCCUAAAACUGCCCACUGACGGCCAAACACGGACGCUGCUUGCAUGGCGGGGUAUUGCGCUAUCCCCGUUUCAUGUGUCGGGCCAAAGUAGUUUAUACGCGCACCUACAAGACAACUAUGCGGAGGGCGAAUACUUUUUAUUAUGACC